GACGAACGCUGGCGGCGUGCUUAACACAUGCAAGUCGAACGGAAAGGCCCUGCUUUUGUGGGGUGCUCGAGUGGCGAACGAGUGAGUAACACGUGAGUAACCUGCCCUUGACUUUGGGAUAACUUCAGGAAACUGGGGCUAAUACCGGAUAGGAGCUCCUGCUGCAUGGUGGGGGUUGGAAAGUUUCGGCGGUUGGGGAUGGACUCGCGGCUUAUCAGCUUGUUGGUGGGGUAGUGGCUUACCAAGGCUUUGACGGGUAGCCGGCCUGAGAGGGUGACCGGCCACAUUGGGACUGAGAUACGGCCCAGACUCCUACGGGAGGCAGCGGUGGGGAAUAUUGCACAAUGGGCUGAAGCCUGAUGCAGCGACGCCGCGUGCGGGAUGACGGCCUUCGGGUUGUAAACCGCUUUCGCCUGUGACGAAGCGUGAGUGACGGUAAUGGGUAAAGAAGCACCGGCUAACUACGUG
rnacentral:rRNA from 1 species